CCGACUUGUCUCGUGAUUCGUGUGGAUCACAGAUCACAUCUGCAGCAUCUGCAAGAUGAACUCACUCUGUCUUCUGACGCUUUCAGUCCUUCUGGCCUCCUGUGCCGGUCAGAGUAUGGAGUCCAUUCCUUCCAGUGCGGUCGUGAAACAAGCGGGUCAGACCCUCAAUCUUUCUUGCCGAGGCUCUGGGUUCACAUUUUCCUGCUGCGUUAUGCACUGGAUCCGGAAAGCUCCUGGAAAAGGCCUUGAAUGGAUAGGAAAGGGCUUUUCAUCGUCCAGUAGCAACAAAUAUGCCAGCAGCUUGACAGGACGACUUACCAUUAGCAGAGAUGAUGCCAACAGCAUGGUUCAUCUGACACUAUCAAACCUACAGCCCGAAGAUUCUGCCGUCUAUUACUGUGCAAAAGACCACAGAAGUUGAAACACACAGGAGGGCGCUCCAAAAACAAGGAAGUUGGGGGAGGGAUGCAAGUCGUGAGGUACACACAACAAGAAGUAAACAUGAAGAAUGGUAAAUCCAAAUCUUCACCAUAUUGUUGAUCAGCCAAUUUCUCCUUUACAAGGGGAUGAAGUGAAAAUGGGGAAAGUUAUUUUUUUUUCACAAAAAUUCACAUUUUAAGUUGAACA